CUUCAGAUGUGUUUUUGUGCCCUUUCUGUCAUCCGCGACUGUAUUCUUCACGCUCGUAUAUACGAGCAAAUGAACACUUGCGAGAUCACCGCAGAACAGCAGUUUCCUACGGAGGUACGUGUAUCCCACUUUUCCCAUUAACUCAGGCUGAGUAUGGGUGGUAAAUAUUCAGUGUUUCCUUUUUGUUUUGUUAACAAUUUAUCCCAUAAUUUUAUGUGGCCAUCUCCUAUGGUCUGGUUUAGUGGGUGCCAAAUGACCUGUGCCUUGUUAGAAUAAUUUACAGAUAUUGGUACUUGUUCUGAGUGUACCAUUGCUGAGUGCCGGUGCGGGUACCCUGCUUUUGGAGACGUUACUUUUUGGGAUGCUUGGACAAUCAAAGGUGACACCUCACAUCCAACCAGGGGAAAACAGUUUAAAUAAGCUUGGAAUUUUACAUUUUUUAAUGUUUAAAUAAGUUCAUAUAGUGUUACUUUAAAUACACCAGUGUGUGUUUUGGUGUACACAGGUAAACUUUUACUGGCACUCUUUUUUUUCUGUUAAAUGAAUAACAUCAAUAUUUUAAUAUCUAAAAGUCAGGACCAAGAAGAUCAUGGCAGCAGUGAACUCGUUGAGGAAUAUACUGAUACAGCCACACCAAGUGUAGGAGAGCAGGCUGGCUGUGUGGCUGCAGCAGGGCAGCUGACUGAAGAACAAGGGGCUCAGGUUUUUGCAGCUGCAGAGAUCAGCAGGGCCUACAGGAGGACUCAACAUGAAAAACUGUUAGAGUUCAUAAUAAAGGACCAUGGAGCAGAUGAUCACUUGCUGGCUGUUGUAUCUCGUAAGGUAUCGUCCAAAUGGUUAAAAAAUUAUGAAAAUCCUAAAGGUCACCUGGUAAUGACUUAUAUAGAAGAUGAGGAGCUGAUAGAUGGCUUCUACAACUUCUUGGAUGAAGUGCUGUCAAGAGCUGUAGGCACUUUUGAGAGGAUUGAUAGAGUUGGCAUCAUUCUGGAUGUGCUGAUGCCAUAGGUUAAUUAGCCUUCAGUAAAUCUCUAAUGAGUACAGAAAGUAAAGUGUGUCUAUGAGUAACAUCCUCUCUUUUGCUGUGUUUUUGAUGGGCUCUUAUUAAAGCUGUACAAACAGUUGAGAGGAUUUCACUGCCAGAGACAGAAAAUCUGUUCAUGGAUGGACCAGCAUACAGUGAGUGUGAGAGGGAAGAGUUUGACAAACUGUACUUGUUUUACAACAGUUGGAAGCACAAGGAAAGCACCACUGAGGCAUUUAAACUCAGGAUUACAUCUCAACCCUACUCAAAUAAAUGUGUCUCUUUCUGUACUUCUCUUUUGCCUUUUUUAUUUCUGUGUGUUAAAAUGAUUGUGCAAAAUAAAGUUGUAUAUAUUUAAUGUAACUAUUGAUGUAAAUAAUAAAGGACACUUUCUGUUAUUGUUAAAGAUUGUUGAUUAAGUUCUGUAUAAUUGCGUGUCUGUUUUUAGACAAUUGAUGUCAUCUGGAUUUUUUCUUUAAUUGUUAUAACUUCUUUGUACAGUUGUUAUGUAUUUUACAUUGUUGUUUUAUUUAUAUAUAAUUUAU